UCAGUGCAGGGCUGGCCUCGCCUGAGUCCACAGCUCGGCUCUGCCCUCUGAAUGUGUUUAGGGUGUUUUAGGGAAGGUGGGGUGGACACAUGACAGAAUCCCAGGACGGCAUCCACAGCUUUGGAAGGUGGAGCUGGCUCUCAAUCUGAUGGUGGACCAGACAGAUGCUCAGUGCUAGGUGUGAGGAUCCCACAGGGAUAGAGGCAACAGGAGGAAGCGAUCCAGGCCUUCUCCUCAGAUGAGGUAGUCCAUUCAGACAAUGGUAGCAGGAGUUUGGGGGACACGCGUGGAGACAGGAGCUGAAGAUGAUCUGUUCAAGGCCAACCUGGAUUACAGGAUACCCCGAGUCAAAAAACAAAGAACAAGAAGCAGGCAAGAUGCUCAGUGAGAUUAAUUAAAUGAAUUUGCUGCCAAGCUUGACCUGAUUCAAGCUUCCAUAUUACAAUGGUAGGAGAGAACCA
rnacentral:lncRNA from 1 species